UAACUUUAGCAGUACACAUAUUAAAAUUGGAACAAUACAGAGAAGAUUACCAUGGGCCCUGUGCAAAAGUCACACAAAAAUUCAUGAAGUAUUCCAAUUUUUU